rnacentral:rRNA from 1 species
UACGUAGGGUGCAAGCGUUAAUCGGAAUUACUGGGCGUAAAGCGUGCGCAGGCGGCUUUGCAAGACAGAUGUGAAAUCCCCGGGCUCAACCUGGGAACUGCAUUUGUGACUGCAUGGCUAGAGUGCGGCAGAGGGGGGAUGGAAUUCCGCGUGUAGCAGCGAAAUGCGUAGAUAUGUGGAGGAACACCGAUGGCGAAGGGCAGCCCCCCUGGGCUAA